rnacentral:rRNA from 1 species
GACGAACGCUGGCGGCGUGCCUAACACAUGCAAGUCGAGCGAACAGACGAGGAGCUUGUUCCUCUGACGUUAGCGGCGGACGGGUGAGAAACACGUGGAUACCCUACUUAUCAGACUGGGAUAAUUUCGGGACACCGGCGCUUAUCCCGGAUAAUCUCUUGCACCGCAUGGUUCAUUAGUGAAAGACGGUUUUGCUGUCACUUCUCGCUGGAUCUGCGCGGCAUUAGCUGGUUGGUACGGUAAAGGCUUACCAAGGCGACGAUGCGUAGCCGACGUGAUAGAGGGAUAGGCCACACGAGAGCGGGAACACGGUCCAGACUCCUACGGUAGGCAGCAGUAGGGAAUCUGCCGCAGUAGGCGAAAGCUUGGCGGAGCAGCGCGGCGUGAGUGAUGAAGGUCUUGGGAGCGUGAAGCUCUGUUAUGAGGGAAGAACAAAUGUGUAAGGAGCUGUGCACGUCUUGACGGUACCUGGUCAGAAAGCCACGGCUAACUACGUG